rnacentral:rRNA from 1 species
GAAGCAGGUAGCCUGACCGCAAGGAGGGCGCCUACCACGGUGUGGUCAAUGACUGGGGUG